rnacentral:rRNA from 1 species
AGCGAACGCUGGCGGCAGGCCUAACACAUGCAAGUCGAACGAAGUCUUCGGACUUAGUGGCGGACGGGUGAGUAACACGUGGGAACGUGCCUUUAGGUGCGGAAUAACUCAGGGAAACUUGUGCUAAUACCGAAUGUGCCCUUCGGGGGAAAGAUUUAUUGCCUUUGGAGCGGCCCGCGUCUGAUUAGCUAGGUGGUGAGGUAAAGGCUCACCAAGGCUACGAACAGUAGCUGGUCUGAGAGGAUGACCAGCGACAUUGGGACUGAGGCACGGCCCAGACUCCUACGGGAGGCAGCAGUGGGGAAUAUUGCGCAAUGGGCGAAAGCCUGACGCAGCCAUGCCGCGUGGAUGAUGAAGGUCUUAGGAUUGUAAAAUCCUUUCACCGGUGAAGAUAAUGACUGUAGCCGGAGAAGAAGCCCCGGCUAACUUCGUGCCAGCAGCCGCAGUAACAC